UAGAAGACGCGCUCGUCGGGCCGCAGGUCGGCGGGGGGCUUCUCCCUCACGAAGGGCUUUCGGUGCAGCAGCGGCAUCGCCCCGCUCCGCGCGCUCCUUCCUGCCCCGGCCCGCUUCAAAUUGGAGGGAAAAGGAGACCAGGCAGCUAAGGGCUCCAUCUCCACCCUGGACCCUCCACCCCAGGAGCGUGUAGUCACACAGACUGUCACUGAGGGUGCAGCAGCCUGGACCACCACCAUCUGGAGAGAAGCGGAGUCUCCUCCUGCCAGAGAUUGUGGGGCUGGCACUAUGAACAAAACUUUCUCUCCAUCCAAAGAUCAAGAGGAGCUGAUGUACCCCCUGGAAGACCUCUGCAUACCCUGAGAGAUACGUGUCCCUCUGGUUCAGAAUCACUGAACGCAAAUUAAAACCUGGGUCAUCACUAGGAAUUAGGCCAGCAUAAUUACAUCACAUAGGGUUGUUAAAAACCCCUAUAUUCCUGAAUGAUGCAGUUAAAAUCAACCUAACUCCAGCACUAUGUCUAGAAUUUUCCAAUAGAGUGGAGGUGGAUUACCUAUGUAUUUUAAAUGUAGACAACCCCUAAUUGUUGCCAUGAAGACAAACUUUCAAAUGACCAGUGAUGACCAUUUAAAUGGCAAUAUACUUAACUAUUUAACUGCUGAUCAAGAAGUGAGAGAAAUAUAAGGAAAAAGACAAACAUGAAGAUUUGCAUUUUUUUUUUUAGGAAUAUCUCAUUUAGGGGCCAUGAUUUUUAAAACAUUUUUCUUCGACAAGCCUAGAAACCAAAUAUUAAAAUAAAUAACAAACCAAAAAUAUCUUCCAUAAUUUUGAUGCUGCAUACUUUAAUAUUCAAGGCCACCUAUGGCUGUAACUUUUGACUUAACUUAUAUUUCAAGCUAUUUGAGCAGAGACAAUGAACCAGAUUUACUAGUAUUCUCUGAUUGGUUGUGUACCAUUACAUUUUGUCUGUUGUGUUUUACUAGACUGUAAAAUGUUAUGCACAUUUUGGUAUAAAUAAUAACAUCCUUCAAUUGACAAAAUUAAAAGAUAGGUGAUUUUUAUAAAAUGUUUAAUUUUGUUUCUGUUUGGCUCAGUUGUGUUUCAGUAGGGUCCUUGAAUGGCUCUCUGAUCACUUGGAUUUUGAGUUCCUGAUUUUGCAGUAGUAUGAUUUUAACACCUAUUGAUUUCCAUAGGAGUCAUACAUAGGCAGCAGCUCUAGAAUCACAUCCUGUAUCUAGCACAUUCUUACCUAUACUGAAAAUUUUGUCCAUUAGCUUAAUUGAAUACUAGUCCCCUUGACAGAAGUACAGCUGCAAAUGGAGAUGAGUUCUUUACUUUUUGCCUUUUACUAGAGUAGCCUAGAAGACAAUAUGUGUUUGCUAUUCAGUUUGUACAGCACCUAGCACAGCUCAAUCCUAAACAGGCCAUCCUGGCACUAUUGUGAUUUCUUCAAUAAGGGGCACAGAAAUAAUUAUUCUAUCACUGCACCUUACAUUUUCAGAGUGUAACACAUUUUAGGCACAGAGCUACCACUGAUGUUAAUGGAUGUUGUAUGCUUACUUCCCA